ACGGAGGAUGCGAGCGUUAUCCGGAUUCAUUGGGUUUAAAGGGUGCGUAGGCGGACUAUUAAGUCAGUGGUGAAAUCCUGCAGCUUAACUGCAGAACUGCCAUUGAUACUGAUAGCCUUGAGUUUGGGUAAGGUAGGCGGAAUGUGUAGUGUAGGGGUUAAAUCCGUAGAGAUCAGAAGGAAAACCGAUUGCGUAGGGGAUUUACUGUAACAUUAUUGACGCUGAGACGGGUAUGUGUGUGUAGGGUACAG
rnacentral:rRNA from 1 species